UGUGUUGGGCGGGCAGGCUCUACUCCCAGCGUCAAGAUUCUCUCUCACCCUUUCCCUCUGCUCCUCCCCCACUUGUGCUCGUACUCUCUCUCUCUCUCUCAAAAAAAAAAAAAAAAAGACAGAAAGAAAGAAAGAAAGAAAAAAGAAAAUACAACACCACUGAAUAAUAUUUUUGAUGGUAUUAGCUAUAUAGAAGAAUCUACCUCACAGUCGAUGAAGUAUGUAUACCCUAGGGAGAACUUGGAUAUGUUCCAAGGAGGAACAUCUAAUUAUGUGAUUAUUAUUUAAGACUUGAGUAUAUUUAUUGAUUACUAGGCUUACAGAAACUUCCCUGCUAAGGUAGGAAUUCACACUCUAAAUUCAAAUUCAACAGUGAUAAUCUUAUACAUUCUCUAUCUACAGGGAUUCUCUGUUGUUAUAUCUUCCAUGUAAAUUCAAUUCGGGAAGGUUUCCAUUUAUGAACCAAAUACAGACUUGUGUUGUUCUGUAAUGAAUCAUUAGGAGUGAACUUGAUAUUUAGGGAUGACUGAAGAUAAAAGGAUUGUAGUUUAGUGUAUAGGUGCUUUGCCAGCAUUGACUUUUGAUACUUUGCUUGAAACAACAUCAACAAUAAAAAACAAAAAACAAAACUAGAUAGAUGAAUAGACCCUCACGAUAAUGUAAUCCUCUCAGUUCUAAUUCUCUUUCUUUUCCCCAACUGGGAAUAAGUUAUGUAAGAUGGUAGAGCCAGAACUUAACUGAUGGGUUUGGUUAUCUGUGGCAGCUCUUCAACAUCUAGGCUUGUGGUACUUUGUAGUAGUAAGCAGGUGAAACAAAAGGAAAUAAUGUCCCUGUGAAAGUCUUCUAAUUAAACCAAGGUUGUGUCUGAUCUAUUAAUGUUACAUGAAGAGCAGUGAUGAAAUAUAAUCGGCAAAAGGCACAAACACAAAUAGUAUAGCUGGGGAUGGUUGACAACAGCUUUUUUUCUGUCUGUACAUCUCGGCCAGUUUGGUCUGGAUGUGCUGCAGCUGUUCUCUUAUUUCACUUUUCAGCAAGUUUAGAAUUGAGUCUUGCUUAACCCAUGUGUAGUCGCACUAAAUAUGUUUGUAGUCAUUAAGAAGAAAAGGUAAAAACGUUAAAAACAAAAGCCUAAAGGUAAAACUUGGGGGUUUUAUUUAGUUUAGGUACCAUUAAAUCUUUUUUAUGGGCAUUUGAAGUGAGCAGCCUUAACCAUUUGUCAUAUUAGUAUUCCCAAACAUUGGAUUUCUGGUUCUGGCUGUUUAUAAGAAAUGUGUUUGUAGCUUGAGCUGAAAUAGAGUAAUUCUGCUUCUGGCCCUAAUUUAAUGGGUCAGAGUGUCUGUUACAGCCUGGAGCCAAAUUUAAUUACUAAACUGUAAAAGUGACUCUGAAUGAUCUCCAGUUAGCAAGCAGGAUGGUUCCCAACAUUAGUAAAGACACUCAAAGACAUUUGUCUUUGGGUUACUAUUUCAAAUUUUGACCACACCUGUAAUUAAAAAAAAAAAAAAAAAGUAAAAGGCUACAUUAUUGGUCAAUCCUGGUUCAAUUUUAAAAGCUAAUUGAGGCCAGGUUGACUCAGCUGAUCAUUCCUAAGCAAGUAACAGUUAUAGAGCUGAAGCAGCUUUAUCCCUAGUGAGCCUGACCUGUCCUGGCUGUGGAAACCUUCCAGCUUCUGGGAAGGAAAAUCAGAACAAUUGGAUAUGAGUUGAUUAGACUGCAGCCUGGUGGUUUAUAUAUACCCAUUGUGGGCUUGAAGUCUUUCUUAUCCUUGCCGUCUGAUAGCUCCAUAGAAUUAUAGAAUCAUGUGAUGUAACAGCAGGAAACAAUCCAUAUCAUUGAAUCCUUUUCCCUCAUUACACACACACAUACACGCAUGCACACACACACCCACACACACAUACACACACAAACACAGUAGAGUGGCUUGUUUUAUUUGUAUUUUUUAAGAUUUUGUUUUUAGGCAAUCUCUACACCCAACAUGGAGGUUCAAACUUACAACCCCUAAGUCAAGAGUCACAUUCUCUACUGACUGAGCCAGCCAGGCACCCCUGGGAGUGGUUUAGAAUUAGAGCAUGGGUGUGCUGAAGUCAACACCAGUAUCUGAGUAAUUUUAGGCAGAUCAAGGAACCUAUCUUUGCCUCUGUCAUCUGUAAAAUGAGAUUGUAAUGGUACCUACCUCAUAGGUAUAUUGUUAUAAAGAUUUAAUGAAGUAAUAAAGAGCUCCUGAUUUACAGCAUGUGCGCAGUUAACAAAAAAAAAAACUUUUUUAAAAGGAGAAAACAGAAGUCACAGAUGAAUACCACAAUGGCAGAGGGAAAGAAAAAAGGACUAAUGUUUAUUUAGCACCUGUUAUCUUCCAGGCCCUGGAAGACACAGAUGUAUUAGGUGAUUUACAUAUGUAUUACAUUCUUUAGCCUUGAGAAAGAUUUUACUUUUCCCAUUUUGCUGGUUAGAAGAGUGAGAAAGAGAUUAAGUUACUUGCCCAAGGACACGGCAUUAAUAACAGCAGAGUGGGAGGAGAGAUUCAUUCCAAAGCCCCAGUUCUUUUCCACUACCCUGUUACCUUCCAUGACGUCCCCAGUUUUCCCCACAUAAAAAUGGGUUGCAUUUCAAAAAUUCAUUUACAAAUUCAUUUGAAGUUAUUUUUCCAUAAGGACAAAGUUACAAAUGGUGGUUAUAGACCCAGACUUAUCUGCAAGAGCUGCAUUGUUACUGAAAUUAUGCACAUUUGUGAACUAAAACUGUCAGGAAAAAAAUUCAUUUGCAAUUUUGGCUAUUAAACAGAAAAAGUAUAUUUUAAAUUCUGUGGAAUAAUAGUUCUUUGAGAAAAGCAGAUUGGUUAGAGAACAGUAAGAAGAUGGAGACUGUUUUGAUGCUGGUGGGGCCUUUGGAAUACUUUAAGGGACUUAACAUUUAUAGCACGGAAACAGUCUAUGUUUGAUGACACUUUGAUGAUGUACAAAGCACAUUCUUAUUCAUUACAAUCAUGUAUGAGACACGUAGGAUAGGUAGUAGAGUUGACCUAAUUUUCCUUGGCAAUAGUUAGCUCUUUUUCCCCCCAUCAUUUCAUCCAUGAUUUUUGUUUUUUAAAGGAGCCCAGCUAGUCACUUUAAUACUCAAAGGAUUAGUUUAUAGGUAUAUUGAAGAAUGAAUGAAAAUAAAAGAAUGAAGGUCUUUGAUGUAGAAAUGUUGGGGCUUGGAGCAAGCGGUCAAGAAAGAAUUCUUGAGGCCUCUUUGGUGCAAAAAGGUGGCUUUAUUAAAGCAUGAAGACUGGACCCAUGGUCAGAAAGGGCUGCACUGGGAUUGUGAGAACAAUUGAUUACAUACUUUCAAGUUGGGAGGGGUUAGGGAUAGUAUAAGUCUCUAAGGAAUUUGGAAGCAAAGUUUCCAGGACCUUGAGGGGCUAGCUGUUGUUAGGAUAGGUCAUUUACUACUGUCUAGUAAAACCUUAGUCAUAAGACCCUUCAGAUGUAUAUCAGUGGGCCAUAUGCUUGGAGGAUGAUUGCUAAGAUAUAUGUUGGGGGGUGGGGUGGGUAGAGAUAAAGGAAGUUUCCAAAGGAAUUUUUAUAUGUUAAUGGAGACUUAACAGGGCCCUGGAGGUUGGGAUGUUAAGCCCUUAGCAAAGUAUUAACAUCCAGGCAGUUGAAUUCCUAGAGGAAGGUCACUCUGCCUGUUUCAAGGACUUGUCACUGGGCUCUAAGUUGUAAGGAAAUUUAAUUUUUUUCUGUUGCUUUUGUUCCCCAUGUCAGUCUUCCUGAGUUAAUUGUGCCGAAAUAGAAGGAAUUAGAAUGGAGUAAAGGGUAUAUGUGGGCAGAUAAGAAAAUGGUAGAAUUAAAUGUUAACUUUUUUUUUUUUACUGUCUUUAAUAUUUUCUUAUUUUAGUUGGCACUGUUUUCUGAGCACAUUAUCAGUCAUUGUGUGUCAGACCUGACCCCAGUGGAAUCUGUUCUUUACUUGAAGCAUCUGCUAAAGAUUAUAUUCAGAUCAUGCAAUGAUCUUUUCCUCCCCACCAGUAUUUAUGAAUAUGCGUUAGUUAUUUAAUUAUAAGACUAGUGGGACUAGUACGGAGUUCCUGUUUAAGUAAUCUUUUUAAUAACUAAAAAAAAUUAGAAAAACUAAAGCAGAUUGAAUGAAAAACCAUCCUUUUAUUUUCCUGUAAUUAUUGCUUGUUCUCCUCUUACUAAAGGCAGGACUAAAGGGUGAGAAUUGGGGUAACUUUAUGUGAUGUAGUAUUUGCUUAUGCAUGUUUCAAAACAAAAGGGAAAUCCCUUUAAGUAGGAUUGAUAUGCUGUAAACGAGUGUAGGAAUAUUUGUCACUUAAUGUCUUGCUUGCAAGUUAGGAAGUAUACCUGAAAACACAGGAAAUGGAGCCAAGAUGCUUGGAUUUACAUUCAUGUUCUGCAACUUCUUUAGAGAAAUUACCUCCCUGACCCUCCUUUUUAAAGUGAUGCGGGGCGCCUGGAUUGCCAAAUUCUUUUUUACUCUGAAAUUCUCUGUGAAAUGGAAGGAGCAUAUUUUGUGUUUAUUUGAGAUGGCUGGGAGAAAGUGGGUGGUGGCGAGAAGUUCACUGUGCUGGAGACCUGCUUUGUUGUUAAAUUAGUGGCCAUCCAGAGCGCAAGUGUAAGUAUUUGUGACGUGUGCAGAAGAGUACUGAGUUGAGGGAGAGAAUCUAGUAUUUGCCAAUUGGAAGCCUGCUCACAGCAUCUUCAUAAAUAUGAAUCUGGUGAGCAGGCUGCUCUGUUAACAUUUAUCUAACCUUAACCGAUACAGUCAAUCUUAAAUUGGGUUAGAAUAAAAGGCUGCUGCCGAGGCAGCUUAACACUAGUUCUAAGGAACGUAUGUUGCAUCAAAUAAGCCUGCUUGAUGUUAGAACUUGCCACUGACAUGGUUCAUCUACUAUUUAUCCCAUGUGAUUGUGUUAUCAUUGGUGUACAUUUAAAUUCAAUUUUUGGCAGUUGGUCAAAAUAUGAACCUUUUAGGCACUGGUGGUUUCUUAUUACUUUAUGGAUUAUUACUUGCCAGGAAUAUUUUUUUAAAUUUUAUUUAUUUAUUUUUAGAGAGAGAGUGUGCGGGCAGGGGAAGAAUAGAGAAAGAGAGAGAGAGAGAAUCACAACCAGGCUCCACAAUGUCAGCACAGAGCCUGAUGCAGGGCUCCAACUCACAAAUGGCGAGGUUAUGACCUGAGCCAAAAUCUAGACAUGGAUGCUUAACUGACUGAGCCACCCAGGCGCCCCCUUACCAAGAAUAUUGUUGACACUUUUCAUUUUAUUUUUAAAUGUUUUAUUUAUUUUUGAGAGAGAGAGUGCAAGCGGGGGAGGGGAAGAGAGAGAGGGGGACAGAGGAUCCGAAGUGGGCUCUGCACUGACAGCAGUUAGCCCAAUGGGUGCUUGAACUCAUGAACUGUGAGAUCAUGACCUGAGCUGCAGGUGGAUGCUCAACUAACUGAGCCACCCAGGUGCCCCUGUUGACACAUUUUAGAAAUUUAGUUUGUUUUUCUGAUUAUAGAGGUAAUGCAUAGUCAUUUUUUAAAAACCUGGAAAGUACAGGAAAAGAUUAAGAAGAAAAGAGAAAUCACCUGAAAUUCUACUUUCCAUGCUGUUUCCUUCUAGUCAUUUUUUUCUUUUUUUUUGAGGUAGCUAUGUGUUUGGGGGAGAGGGGGAUAUUUCCUUAGUGAAACAGCUGAGGCAUAAGUAGAAUUUCCCAUGACACUCAUGAUGUUGGGAAUCUUGCCUUGUGUACUGUGCUAAUUAAGAACUGAAUGAUUUUGUCUGGGGCACCUGGGUGGCUCGGUCGGUUGAGCAUCCUGACUUUGGCUGUGGUCAUAAUCUCACAGUUUGUGAGUUCAAGCCCUCUCCUGUCAGCGCAGAUCCUGCUUCAGAUCCUCUGUCCCCCCCGCCCCACCCCCAUCCCUCCCUCACCAAUACUUUCUCUCAAAAAUAAAUAAAUACUAAAAAAAUAUAAGAACUGAAUGAUUUUUUUAAACCAGGUGGCACAAACUCAGAUGCCUGCACAACCAAAUGUGUAAAUGUGUGAAUCAGACCAGUUAGAGGACACUGGGGAGUGGUAGGGACUGUGGUAAAUUGAAAAAUGUAGGACCUGAUUGAAGAAGACUGCUACUAUCUCCAGCUUAUUGUUGCCAUAUGGAAACAGAGUCUUGUGUUACCAGAUCUUCCUGAUAUCCAAUAAAAUCUGGACAUCUGUAUUUCUUUUUAAUGUGAAGUUUUCCGUUUUAAAAAAAUACCGUGCCUGUCAAAUAGGUCUGUAGAUUACACCCGGCCCAUACACUGCUGUUUUGUCAUUCCUGACAUAAAUACUUCCCUCAGUCUUUCUCACAGCUCUCAUAAGAAGAGCACUUUUAUAACAAAAUAUUUAGAGGGGACUUGGAUAAGGAAUUUCUAAGAGUGGCUUCAGGAAUUUUCACUCUGUGUAGACACUGAGAGGGUUGCCUAAUGUGGGAAUGAUAAACCUAGAUAUCCACAGAGACCAGGAACUGACAUAAAUGAGUGAAAUGGCCUGGAUAUUAAGAUUAUAGGGAAUGGUACAGAGAGUAUAUUCCCUAUACAGGAUAUUUGGGUUCUAGCAAAUUGUUUCUUUGCUGAAAUGCAGAUCUGAUGUGGCCAAUCUUCUAGUAUGUCAAGAGUUUCAUAAAUUUGUAUCUUUAUGAAAUUUCUUGACUUAAAAACAAUGUGGAUGAAACAUAAAUUACCGUUGGUCCAAAUCUGCACAAAGGCCACUAAUUUGUAACUCGUGGCCUAGAUGACUGUUUUCCUAAGUAUAUCCUACAAAUCCCAAUUCCAUCAUAGUUUGGUAGGUAUUAAGAAAUUGGAAAGUGGUGGAUUAAAUUAAAUUAAACAGAUUUCCUGACUGAAAGUUAUCUUAGAUCCUUAAAUAAACUGUUUGUAAAUUCCUAAGAAGAUAUAGGUCAUAGGCCCCACAGUUACAGUUAAUGUCUCUGUCUUCACUCACCAUCCGUCUUGUCUCUGAGGAAGAGAUGAUUUCCUCCUGGUAAAUGUUAGUGUCUCUACCUGUUCUCCAGAUUCUGUCCCUGCCUCUUUAGAGACCUUGCUUUAUAAUCAACGUCUUGUUUCCUGCCUCCUUUCCUUCAGCCUAUCAACAUGCUUGGUUUCUUUAAAGAAAAUAAUAACCAUUUUCUUAGCAUACACAAAAAUUAACUUCAAAUGGAUUGUGGACCUAAAAUGUAAGAGCUAAAACUAUAAAAUUCUGAGAAUAAAACAUAGGAAUAAAUCCUCAUGACCUUGGUCAUGCAAAGCCUUCUUAGAUACUAUACUAAAAGCACAAGCCACAAAAGAAAACAAAUAGAUAACUUGAAUUUCAUCAGAAUUAAAAACUUUUGUGCUACAAAGGACACCAUCAAAAAAGUAAAAACAAGUCACAGACUGGGAGAAAAUAUGUGGUAUAACCAUAUAAUGGAAUAUUAUUUGACAAUAAAAAGCAAUGAAAUACCGCUAUAUGCUCCAACAGGAAAGAAGCCAGUCACUAAAGGUUGUAUCCUGGGGCACCUGGGUGGCUCAGUCAGUUAAGUAUCCGACUUCGGCUCAGGUCAUGAUCUCACGGUUCGUGGAUUCGAGCCCUGCAUCGGGCUCUGUGCUGACAGCUCAGAGCCUGGAGCCUGCUUCAGAUUCUGUGUCUCCCUCUCUCUCUGCCCCUCCCCCACUCGUGCUCUGUCUCCCUCUGUCUCAAAAA